rnacentral:rRNA from 1 species
GCUCCUUUGACGUUAGCGGCGGACGGGUGAGUAACACGUGGAUAACCUACCUAUAAGACUGGGAUAACUUCGGGAAACCGGAGCUAAUACCGGAUAACAUAUUGAACCGCAUGGUUCAAUAGUGAAAGGCGGCUUUGCUGUCACUUAUAGAUGGAUCCGCGCCGUAUUAGCUAGUUGGUAAGGUAACGGCUUACCAAGGCAACGAUACGUAGCCGACCUGAGAGGGUGAUCGGCCACACUGGAACUGAGACACGGUCCAGACUCCUACGGGAGGCAGCAGUAGGGAAUCUUCCGCAAUGGGCGAAAGCCUGACGGAGCAACGCCGCGUGAGUGAUGAAGGUCUUCGGAUCGUAAAACUCUGUUAUCAGGGAAGAACAAAUGUGUAAGUAACUGUGCACAUCUUGACGGUACCUGAUCAGAAAGCCACGGCUAACUACGUGCCAGCAGCCGCGGUAAUACGUAGGUGGCAAGCGUUAUCCGGAAUUAUUGGGCGUAAAGCGCGCGUAGGCGGUUUUUUAAGUCUGAUGUGAAAGCCCACGGCUCAACCGUGGAGGGUCAUUGGAAACUGGAAAACUUGAGUGCAGAAGAGGAAAGUGGAAUUCCAUGUGUAGCGGUGAAAUGCGCAGAGAUAUGGAGGAACACCAGUGGCGAAGGCGACUUUCUGGUCUGUAACUGACGCUGAUGUGCGAAAGCGUGGGGAUCAAACAGGAUUAGAUACCCUGGUAGUCCACGCCGUAAACGAUGAGUGCU